GCGAGUGACCCCGUCUGUAGGCCAGACGUACGGGCAUGCAGGCCCUCCCCUCCAGCCCCUCAGCAUCCAGCCACAUCUGUGGACACAGCCAGCACGGCGGCGCAGGGCUCUGCUAAGGACAGACGGCCAUCAAGGCAGGGCCUGGGCCGGGCCAGGGCUCCCUCCCCACAGCAGCCCUCUUGGCAGGCAGCCAGACGCCCGUGAGGGUGGACCUGCCAUGAGGGCCUGCACGCCAGAGGCCGCCCACUCAGCACUGCGGGCCCUCCAGCAGCCUGACCAGCAUCCCCGACCAGCCCCAAGGUCUUCCCGCUGAGCCUCGACAGCAACCCCCAAGAUGGGAACGUGGUCGUCGCCUGCCUGGUCCAGGGCUUCUUCCCCCAGGAGCCACUCAGUGUGACCUGGAGCGAAAGCGGACAGGGCGUGACCGCCACAAACUUCCCGCCCAGCCAGGAUGCCUCCGGGGACCUGUACACCACGAGCAGCCAGCUGACCCUGCCGGCCACACAGUGCCUAGCCGGCAAGUCCGUGACAUGCCACGUGAAGCACUACACGAAUCCCAGCCAGGAUGUGACUGUGCCCUGCCGAGGUCCCUCAACUCCAUGUCCCCCAACUCCCUCAACUCCACCUACCCCAUCUCCCUCCUGCUGCCACCCCCGACUGUUGCUGCACCGACCGGCCCUUGAGGACCUGCUCUUAGGUUCAGAAGCGAACCUCACGUGCACACUGACCGGCCUGAGAGAUGCCUCAGGUGCCACCUUCACCUGGUCGCCCUCAAGUGGGAAGAGCGCUGUUCAAGGACCACCUGAGCGUGACCUCUGUGGCUGCUACAGCGUGUCCAGUGUCCUGCCCGGCUGUGCCGAGCCAUGGAACCAUGGGGAGACCUUCACCUGCACUGCUGCCUACCCCGAGUCCAAGACCCCGCUAACCGCCAACAUCACAAAAUCCGGAAACACGUUCCGGCCCGAGGUCCACCUGCUGCCGCCGCCGUCGGAGGAGCUGGCCCUGAACGAGCUGGUGACGCUGACGUGCCUGGCACGCGGCUUCAGCCCCAAGGACGUGCUGGUUCGCUGGCUGCAGGGGUCACAGGAGCUGCCCCGCGAGAAGUACCUGACUUGGGCAUCCCGGCAGGAGCCCAGCCAGGGCACCACCACCUUCGCUGUGACCAGCAUACUGCGCGUGGCAGCUGAGGACUGGAAGAAAGGGGACACCUUCUCCUGCAUGGUGGGCCACGAGGCCCUGCCGCUGGCCUUCACACAGAAGACCAUCGACCGCCUGGCGGAUUGGCAGAUACUGCCUCCCUAUGUGGUGCUGGACUUGCCGCAGGAGACCCUGGAGGAGGAGACCCCCGGCGCCAACCUGUGGCCCACCACCAUCACCUUCCUCACCCUCUUCCUGCUGAGCCUGUUCUAUAGCACAGCACUGACCGUGACCAGCGUCCGGGGCCCAUCUGGCAACAGGGAGGGCCCCCAGUACUGAGCGGGAGCCGGCAAGGCACAGGGAGGAAGUGUGGAGGAACCUCUUGGAGAAGCCAGCUAUGCUUGCCAGAACUCAGCCCUUUCAGACAUCACCGACCCGCCCUUACUCACAUGCCUUCCAGGUGCAAUAAAGUGGCCCCAAGGAAAA